CCAAACUGUUGCCUCGGCGGGGUCACGCCCCGGGUGCGUAAAAGCCCCGGAACCAGGCGCCCGCCGGAGGAACCAACCAAACUCUUUCUGUAGUCCCCUCGCGGACGUAUUUCUUACAGCUCUGAGCAAAAAUUCAAAAUGAAUCAAAACUUUCAACAACGGAUCUCUUGGUUCUGGCAUCGAUGAAGAACGCAGCGAAAUGCGAUAAGUAAUGUGAAUUGCAGAAUUCAGUGAAUCAUCGAAUCUUUGAACGCACAUUGCGCCCGCCAGUAUUCUGGCGGGCAUGCCUGUCCGAGCGUCAUUUCAACCCUCGAACCCCUCCGGGGGAUCGGCGUUGGGGAUCGGGACCCCUCACCGGGUGCCGGCCCUGAAAUACAGUGGCGGUCUCGCCGCAGCCUCUCCUGCGCAGUAGUUUGCACAACUCGCACCGGGAGCGCGGCGCGUCCACGUCCGUAAAACACCCAACUUCUGAAAUGUUGACCUCGGAUCAGGUAGGAAUACCCGCUGAACUUAAGCAUAUCAAUAAGCGGAGGA
rnacentral:rRNA from 1 species